rnacentral:lncRNA from 1 species
UGUGAGAGAGAGAGGGACGCUCGUCCCGCAGGUGUGAGAGAGAGACGCUAGUCCCGCAGGUGUGAGAGAGGGCGAUGCUCGUCCCGCAGGUGUGAGAGAGAGGGACGCUCGUCCCGCAGGUGUGAGAGAGAGAGAGACGCUCCUCCCGCAGGUGUGGGAGAGAGAGACGCUCGUCCCGCAGGUGUGAGAGAGAGAGGGACACUCGUCCCGCAGGUGUGAGAGAGAGGG